rnacentral:lncRNA from 1 species
UUUUAAAUACGUACUCGGAGGUUAUUUGAAUUCUGAAAAAUGUUCGAUGCCUAGCAAUGGCCACUGACUCAGCUGCUCACCACUUUUGAAAACCAGGCUCCUAAGUCCAGGACAAGGUUCUUCAACCCUACUGAAGUGUCAGAGAUGCAGACACCUACCACACUUUGCGUAAGGCUGCUGAAGAGAAGAGGCAAUGAGUGACCUGCUUUAAUUCCUCCCGCUGAAGGACAAAGUAGAUAGCCAGGGAAGUCAACCCAUUGAACUGGGCAAACAAAGCCAUGGUAGCCAGAACUGCUGUUAUGGAGCAGCUGGCAAGUGGAGUGGUGCAGAUAAGUCUGUACCACAUCAUGGGGAUCUUUAUGUAAACUGAGGCUGCCAGAUACUACAUUGGACAUUCUCUUAUGUUUUUUCAAAUGUAUGUUUAAAGUUG